GCUGCAACAACAAAACGUGCUGUAUUCAGCUGACACGAUGAUGCUGCUCAUCUUCAUCUUCAGCUAUGUAGUUGGAGAGGCAGCAGAGGUGGAGGCUGAGGAUGGUGUGGCUCAUCAGAAAAAGUGCCAGUGUGUGAAGGGUGAUUCCAGCUACCUCUUAUCGAAGGAGUUGAAGCUCUUCUGUCCGGCUGUAUAUACAACAUGUCAACACACUGGACAAACAGACUCGAAAACCCCCUUGGAGCAGCAAUUGAUUUUUUAU